rnacentral:tRNA from 1 species
GCCUGAGUGGCUCAGUCGGUUGAGCGUCUGACUUUGGCUCAGGUCACGAUCUCACGGUUCGUGACUUUGAACGCCGUGUCGGGCU